AUUGAACGCUGGCGGCAGGCCUAACACAUGCAAGUCGAACGAGUGGCGGACGGGUGAGUAAUGUAUGGGAAUCUGCCUGAUGGAGGGGGAUAACUACUGGAAACGGUAGCUAAUACCGCAAACUCUCAGAUGCGCCCAUAGGGGAUUAGCUAGGUGGUGGGGUAACGGCUCACCAAGGCGACGCUCCCUCGCUGGUCUGAGAGGAUGACCAGCCACACUGGAACUGAGACACGGUCCAGAAUCCUACGGGAGGCAGCAGUGGGGAAUAUUGCACAAUGGGCGCAAGCCUGAUGCAGCCAUGCCGCGUGUAUGAAGAAGGCCUUCGGGUUGUAAAGUACUUUCAGCGGGGAGGCGUUACCCACAGAAGAAGCACCGGCUAACUCCGUGCCAGCAGCCGCGGUAAUAC
rnacentral:rRNA from 1 species